AGCAAACAUUACAAGUGUGCAUGAGUUUGUUUGUAAAAUGAGUGAAUGGACAUGUACAUCAACAAAUCAAGUGCCAAUAAGUGUCAGGGUCCUGCCUUGACAUCUUGUUAUCUCUGUCUUCUCUGUGUGUGUGUGUGUGUGUGUGUGUGUGUGUGUGUGUGUGUGUGAGAAACAUCAUUCAAAUUGCUGGAGUAGGCUCUAGCCCUUCCCCCAACUCUACAGAGGAUACAGUAGACUGGUAUGUCCUGUUCCCAUAAUACAUCACAGCCAGGAUACAAAUACAGAGUCCUAAUCAAGUCUUUAAACAGUUCCCUUCAACAUGGCCUCCUCCACAUAUGUAAACAACAUGAAGCCAGCAGCACUUAAAGAAUCUAAUUAGAUGUGAGGACUGAUGGGAGGAGUAUGAUCACACCAAAGGAAACCUGAAGUCAUGGAAGGAGAAACCAUAGAAGUGCUGCAUUAUUGAAGAACAAUGCUAAAGAAAAAGGUGCACAGCGAGUAAGAAAGAAGACAAGCAGGUCAGAGAGAAGCAGAAUGGACACUCAAAAUCAGAGCACUUUAGACAAAAACAUGGAAACAGAUUUCUUGACAGAUGAGCAGAUGGAACGGACAGAACAGAGGUCAUGUUUAUUUCCACUGCUGAGCUCUCCUUUAGUUCAGAAAAGAGAAGAACCAGCUUCACGUGCACUGAAUGAACAGCAAAGAAAAGCAGAAGACCAAAGAUGUUUGCUGGAAGAGCUGGCCCGUAUAGAACAGGACCUGAAGGAAAGCAUUCGAAGAGAGGAGAAGAGACAACAGGAGCUGGACCAAGUAAGACGAGAAGAGAAUCGGAUCUGCUGGAGAAGUCUGAUGUUCCUCAGCCUCAACCAGCGUACAGCGAAGUAUGAACUUGUGCCUCAACUAUUCUUUCCAAAAAAACUAGAAAACAUCAAAA
rnacentral:lncRNA from 1 species